rnacentral:rRNA from 1 species
GCUCAAAUUUGAAAUCUUCAAGGUUUUACCUUGACGAAUUGUAGUUUAAAGAAGUGUUUUCUGUUGGUGUUUUGGUAAAAGUUCUUUGGAAUAGGACAUCAUAGAGGGUGAGAAUCCCGUAUUUGACCAUUACUUCCAGCGUUGUGAUACACUUUCAAAGAGUCGGAUUGUUUGGGAAUGCAGUCCAAAAUGGGUGGUAAAUUUCAUCUAAAGCCAAAUAUUGGCGAGAGACCGAUAGCGAACAAGUACCGUGAGGGAAAGAUGAAAAGAACUUUGAAAAGAGAGUUAAACAGUACGUGAAAUUGUCAAAAGGGAAGCGUUUGACACCAGUGUUGUUUUCUCGAAAAUCAAUUAAAAAAAGUUGGAUUUUGUAUUGUUAAGACCUUAUCAGCUUACUGUACUCUUUUCUUGCUUUUUUUAAUGCACUUUUCGUUUAACAAG